UGGGGAAUAUUGCACAAUGGAGGGAACUCUGAUGCAGCGACGCCGCGUGAACGAAGAAGGCUUUCGAGUCGUAGUUCUUUUAUAUGGGAAGAUAAUGACGGUACCAUAAGAAAAAGCCCCGGCUAACUACGUGCCAGCAGCCGCGGUAAUACGUAGGGGGCUAGCGUUGUCCGGAAUCACUGGGCGUAAAGGGUUCGCAGGCGGAAAUGCAAGUCAGGUGUAAAAGGCAGUAGCUUAACUACUGUAAGCAUUUGAAACUGCAUAUCUUGAGAAGAGUAGAGGUAAGUGGAAUUUUUAGUGUAGCGGUGAAAUGCGUAGAUAUUAAAAAGAAUACCGGUGGCGAAGGCGACUUACUGGGCUCAUUCUGACGCUGAGGAACGAAAGCGUGGGUAGCAAACAGG
rnacentral:rRNA from 2 species